AAAGAACCAUUAAACCCACAUGCAACACCAACAAAAGCUAAUACUAAAGAAACUUAAUUAACCAAAAUGUCCAUCCAAACAAAAUCAUUUUCAAUGGAAACAAAUAAACUCAAGCCAAAACACAAUAAAACUGGGGUAGAAAGAGAAGAAAGAAAUCAUAUAAAUCACAAAAAAGGGGGAAACAUGGGCAACUUCGCCCGAUUCUCCCCUUGGUGAUAGCAAUUUGUAUUGAACUAGAUGGCCACAAGGAGUGUAAACCAAUAGGUGGUCCAAAGCAUUAACAUUUUUCAAGUGAGAAUGUUGUAAAUCUCGAGCCACACAUCAUUGAAAAACAACAAUAAAAAAAAAAAGAAUCAAGGAUGAAAUUAGCAUUUCACCAAUAUUUGUUUUAUAACAGUUGCCGAAACACAAUGCCAAGCAUGGCUCACCUAAUCAAUCCCACCAACAUGCUCCACCUCUUCUGGACAGGAACCAAGCUCAAGACUAGCCAAUUCAAGACCUCCAAAAAUCCCUACUACUCUGUUUGUUUCUCCAAAACACACCAAGUUUAAGGAAAUAAAAAAAAAAAUACAGUUUUUCACUUUGCAAAAUCCACCUCGCGUCCUUGUGAAUUGGAUUCGACCUUCGUUGGAUUGGUUGGGGGCAGCAAAUAGUAGAGUAGAGGCUAGAUUUGUUGGGUUCACUGCAUAUGUUAGGCGGUGAUGCAACAGAUGAUAAGAAGGGAAGCGAGGAAUUAUAUGAUGGGGAAGAAUAGGGCGCCGCUAGUAAUGGUGGAGGUGUUGGUCUGUGUUUUGAGGCUGUUGGGGGAGAAGGGAUUAGAAAUGUAGUGAUGAAUUAAGUAGAAUGAGUAGAAUUGAUUCUGAAAUUGAACAGAGGAGAGAGUGGAGAGAGAUGGUAAGGAGAGAAAAUCGGG
rnacentral:misc_RNA from 1 species